rnacentral:rRNA from 1 species
CCUACGGGUGGCUGCAGUGGGGAAUUUUGGGCAAUGGGGGAAACCCUGACCCAGCGACGCCGCGUGGAGGAGGAAGGCUUUCGAGUCGUAAACUCCUGUUCUCGGGGACGAUAAUGACGGUACCCGAGGAGAAAGCCCCGGCUAACUCCGUGCCAGCAGCCGCGGUAAUACGGGGGGGGCAAGCGUUGUUCGGAAUUACUGGGCGUAAAGGGUGCGUAGGCGGGCUUGGAAGUCUGAGGUGAAAGUCCCCGGCUCAACCGGGGGAGGUCCUCAGAAACCACGAGUCUUGAGAGCUGGAGAGGGAAGCGGAAUUCCCGGUGGAGCGGUGAAAUGCGUAGAUAUCGGGAGGAACACCGGAGGCGAAGGCGGCUUCCUGGACAGCAUCUGACGCUGAGGCACGAAAGCCAGGGGAGCGAACGGGAUUAGAUACCCCGG